GGGGCUGUGGCCUAGCCCGGCAUGGCGAUGGGCUCCAGCGGAUAAAUGAUGAACAACGGGUCUACUGAGGCUUAACCCGACGGGGUUGGCCGGUGAGGAACCGUUGGAGCACUGAUGUUGCUCAUACCUUAAUGCUGUGUAAUGCAGCAGUUCGGAGAGACCCGUCGAUCGUGAGUUCAAAUCUCACCAGCCCCA
rnacentral:tRNA from 1 species